GAUCCUGGCUUAGGAUGAACGCUAGCUACAGGCUUAACACAUGCAAGUCGAGGGGCAGCAUGAACUUAGCUUGCUAAGUUUGAUGGCGACCGGCGCACGGGUGAGUAACGCGUAUCCAACUUCCCCUUAGUAGGGCAUAGCCCGGUGAAAAUCGGAUUAAUACCCUAUGUUUUCCAAUGAGGACAUCUGAGCUGGAAUAAAGAUUCAUCGCUAAGGGAUGGGGAUGCGUCCGAUUAGGUUGUUGGCGGGGUAACGGCCCACCAAGCCUUCGAUCGGUAGGGGUUCUGAGAGGAAGGUCCCCCACACUGGUACUGAGACACGGACCAGACUCCUACGGGAGGCAGCAGUGAGGAAUAUUGGUCAAUGGGCGAGAGCCUGAACCAGCCAAGUAAGCGUGCAGGACGACGGCCCUACGGGUUGUAAACUGCUUUUAUGCGGGGAUAAAGUGAGGGACGUGUCCCUUUUUGUAGGUACCGCAUGAAUAAGGACCGGCUAAUUCCGUGCCAGCAGCAGC
rnacentral:rRNA from 1 species